GCCUCUAUGGCGUAGUGGUAGCGCGUGUCACUUGUACAAAAUUCACAGGAAUGACAAGGUCUCUCGUUCGAUCCGGGAUGGAGGCA